AAGUUUAAUUAGGUUGUUACUCCUAUUUCUUCUUAUCUAGUUAUCCAAUCUUAUUUUAGAAUCUUGCUAUUAUGAAGGUGACAGUGGAAACGUUAGAUAAGUGAGCAAGAGUUUCUACUUCAUUAAGCGUAUCAGGUGGGCUUUCUAAACUCAUAAUUUGAAGUGCGCACUAUUUAAUUAUGUUAUUAUAUGAAUGAAGUUAUAUUAAAGUUAUUGACUUGCCAAAUUAUUUUAUGAGCUUGUAUGUUACCAUCUACGAGAGAUAGACGAUAUCGGCCCUAUGCUGAAGCGAGAUGUCAGUAAGGGUUUGUGCACAUAGUUGUGACCGUGAGUCAUCGAGCGGGUUGGCCGGUCACUGUGAUCGGGAGCCUUCGGGCCGAUCACUGUGUUUGAGAAGGAGGCCUACUUCUCAACACAAGGUUACAUGAUGCGUAGUUAUGGUACAUACAUGUUAAUUGUCUGCAGACGUAUAUGAUGUUAUGAUGAUAUAUAUAUAGAAGUUUUACAGUUUUGGCGUGCACAGGUUAUUUAAAUAAAACUCCUGUGUGAUGCUUGAGAUGGCAAGUUCAAUAUAUAGCUCUAAGAGCAAACUUUAAAGUUAUUUCGGCAUGUGACCAUUGAGUACCUUUUUAGUACUCAGCCCUGCAUAUGUUUCUAAAUGUGCAGGUUAAGCUGUGAUGCAGAUGGAGGCGAGCAGAGCAAAGCUUUUGAAGUAUAAGUAUUAAAUUAGGCUCAGGAUUCCAUG
rnacentral:lncRNA from 1 species